AUGAGUGAAAAGGUGAAAUAUUGGUGGUUUUCUAUAUGAUCUUGCUGAAAUUAAUUCUCAUUACCACCACUCUUUUAUGUCAUGCGUUUGAUCUUGAAUUCGCAUUAGGCCUGCUUUAGCAACCUAAAAUGAAGAAUACCAUGCUUUGAAUUUUUUUUUUUAUUUUUUUUUUUUAAAUUUAAGAGUGAGAAUACUAUGACUAAUCCAAAAGAAUAUAAUAAAAUAAUAUAGGACUAUCAAGAAGUUACCAUUUUGCUGAGAAUUCCCUUGAAAUUCAUGUGAGUUACAUUAUUUUAGUUGCUGAGCAAUUGACUUUUGGCUUGACGUCACUUUAUGGGAAACAAUAAAUCUAUAAGAAUGUGUGGGAGGAAAUUAGGAUGCAGCAGUUGAUUCAUAAAACUCACCCUUUCCAAGGGCCACCAGAAACACUAAUGGAAAUUUGGUGUAAUUUCUAACAUAUUUCUCUUUUCUUGCAACUUAUAUUUCCCUAAUCAUGUUUUUUGUGGUUUUGCAGGAAAUGAUUUGAGUUGUAAGGAGAUAGGUGCAAGUGUCGGUCCUGUACAAUAUGGAAAAGUUGCUACCCUCUUGCAUAUAGCAAUUUUACUUGGUUGCUCCUAACAAUGGAUGGAGUAUAGAUCUUGAGCUCUAUAUCACUUAGCAACCUAUGUUAGCACCUUUCUUCCGUUGCAUGUCAUGGGGAAAGUUUAGAGUUAUACUUGCUCUUUUGAAUCAUGGUAAUAUUGAGGGAGUUGAAAUGGAGUCUAUAAAGGCAUAAGAAUAAGCCGGCCAGCUACAAUGCCAGUCCAUUUAACUUGCUAAUUUUUUGCGUAUUCAAAUCGGGGAAUCUAAUAGGGAGUACCGAGCAUUCCAGCCCACUGCCCUUCAUUACCUACUAUGAGAAGAUUGGCAAAAUUGCCAAGGAUGAGACAGUCUUCUUAACAACUGUUCUGCUUCAUCAAUUGGAGUGGUAGAGUACA